UACGUAGGGUGCGAGCGUUGUCCGGAAUUAUUGGGCGUAAAGGGCUCGUAGGCGGUCUGUCACGUCGGGAGUGAAAACACGGGGCUUAACCCCGUGCCUGCUUCCGAUACGGGCAGACUAGAGGUAUGCAGGGGAGAACGGAAUUCCUGGUGUAGCGGUGAAAUGCGCAGAUAUCAGGAGGAACACCGGUGGCGUAGGCGGUUCUCUGGGCAUUACCUGACGCUGAGGAGCGAAAGUGCGGGGAGCGAACAGG
rnacentral:rRNA from 1 species